rnacentral:rRNA from 1 species
ACGCUGGCGGCGUGCCUUAACACAUGCAAGUCGAGCGAGGAGAUUCCUUCGGGAUGAUCCUAGCGGCGGACGGGUGAGUAACACGUGGCAACCUGCCUCAUAGAGAGGAAUAGCCUUCCGAAAGGGAGAUUAAUACCUCAUAACAUUGCAGUUUCGCAUGGAACAGCAAUUAAAGGAGUAAUCCGCUAUGAGAUGGGCCCGCGGCGCAUUAGCUAGUUGGUGAGGUAACGGCUCACCAAGGCGACGAUGCGUAGCGACCUGAGAGGUGAUCGGCCACAUUGGGACUGAGACACGGCCCAGACUCCUACGGGAGGCAGCAGUGGGAAUAUUGCGACAAUGGGGGAAACCCUGAUGCAGCCAACGUCCGCGUGAGUGAUGACGGCCUUCGGGUUGUAAAGGCUCUGUCUUCAGGGACGAUAAUGACGGUACCUGAGGAGGAAGCCACGGCUAACUACGUGCCAGCAGCUGC